rnacentral:rRNA from 1 species
UACGUGGGGUGCAAGCGUUAUCCGGAUUUAUUGGGCGUAAAGAGUUCGUAGGCGUCUUAUCAAGUUUUGCUUGAAAUCCCGAGGCUUAACCUCGGAACUGGGUGAAAUACUGAUGAGAUUGAGUCUGUUAGGGGGUACUGGAACUCAUGGUGUAGCAGUGAAAUGCGUUGAUAUCAUGAGGAACACCAAGGGCGAAGGCAGGUACCUGGGACACGACUGACGCUGAGGAACGAAAGCUAGGGGAGCGAAAGGG